rnacentral:rRNA from 1 species
CCUACGGGGGGCUGCAGUGGGGAAUAUUGGACAAUGGGGGGAACCCUGAUCCAGCCAUGCCGCGUGUGUGAAGAAGGCCCUCGGGUUGUAAAGCACUUUCAGUGAGGAAGAACGCCUGGUGGUUAAUACCCAUCAGGAAAGACAUCACUCACAGAAGAAGCACCGGCUAACUCCGUGCCAGCAGCCGCGGUAAUACGGAGGGUGCGAGCGUUAAUCGGAAUUACUGGGCGUAAAGCGCGCGUAGGUGGCUUGAUAAGCCGGUUGUGAAAGCCCCGGGCUCAACCUGGGAACGGCAUCCGGAACUGUCAAGCUAGAGUGCAGGAGAGGAAGGUAGAAUUCCCGGUGUAGCGGUGAAAUGCGUAGAGAUCGGGAGGAAUACCAGUGGCGAAGGCGGCCUUCUGGACUGACACUGACACUGAGGUGCGAAAGCGUGGGUAGCAAACAGGAUUAGAUACCCUUGUGUC